UACGUAGGGUGCAAGCGUUGUCCGGAAUUAUUGGGCGUAAAGCGCUCGUAGGCGGUCUGUCACGUCGGCUGUGAAAACCCGAGGCUCAACCUCGGGCCUGCAGUCGAUACGGGCAGGCUAGAGUUCGGUAGGGGAGACUGGAAUUCCUGGUGUAGCGGUGAAAUGCGCAGAUAUCAGGAGGAACACCGGUGGCGAAGGCGGGUCUCUGGGCCGAAACUGACGCUGAGGAGCGAAAGCGUGGGGAGCGAACAGG
rnacentral:rRNA from 1 species